rnacentral:lncRNA from 1 species
AAAGACAACAGAAAACACUAUUUUAUUAGAUAUUUAAUAAUUUUGUGUUGUAGUGCUCAUGGUGAACAAAAAGAAUUCCAUGGAGGUAAUUUCAGAUUUUGUGAAAAUAUAUGUUACAGAACUUGAAAAGAUGAUUUCCAGAGGAGACACAUGAUUGAUUGAAAGGUGUGGAGGAUACAAAAUCCUGUUGUAUUUAUUUCUUUGUUGGCAACAAAAAUAACCAUAACAAUAACUAAAUAUUUGACUGAGUAGCACAAGAUUC